AAUUCUCAACCUUGCCCAGCCUUUGUGGCUGACUUGUGAAGGUUUGGACAUGGAGGUCUGUGUUGGCCCGUUUGCUAGGUCAGCUCCUCUGAAAUGCAUUAGCAGAACCGUUUGCGGUCUAUCAAUGGUGUGAUAGUUAUCAACGCCAGUAAGAUUGCUCUCUGUCUUGUUCUGCUUCCAAUAGUCCCAAGCGGACAAGCUUUUCGCUACUGAAC
rnacentral:misc_RNA from 1 species